GUGAACGCUGGCGGUAGGCCUAACACAUGCAAGUCGCACGGCAGCACAGUAAGAGCUUGCUCUUACGGGUGGCGAGUGGCGGACGGGUGAGGAAUACAUCGGAAUCUACUUUUUCGUGGGGGAUAACGUAGGGAAACUUACGCUAAUACCGCAUACGACCUACGGGUGAAAGCAGGGGAUCUUCGGACCUUGCGCGAUUGAAUGAGCCGAUGUCGGAUUAGCUAGUUGGCGGGGUAAAGGCCCACCAAGGCGACGAUCCGUAGCUGGUCUGAGAGGAUGAUCAGCCACACUGGAACUGAGACACGGUCCAGACUCCUACGGGAGGCAGCAGUGGGGAAUAUUGGACAAUGGGCGCAAGCCUGAUCCAGCCAUACCGCGUGGGUGAAGAAGGCCUUCGGGUUGUAAAGCCCUUUUGUUGGGAAAGAAAAGCAGCAGGUUAAUACCCCGCUGUUCUGACGGUGCCCAAAGAAUAAGCACCGGCUAACUUCGUG
rnacentral:rRNA from 1 species